rnacentral:lncRNA from 1 species
AUGGAUAAAAUCAACAUGGUGAUAUUAUUGACCAUGCAAUUAACACAAGAUGGACACAGCAUGGAAGUAGAAGAAAGGAGGUUCCUGUUCAGUCUAGUUUGGAUGCUCAUGACCAUCAGUGGGCCAUUUCCCCUUCAUCAAAAUAUUUUUAAUGAGACUUCUGUCAAACUAAAUGAAACAGAAUUUGAGGUAGAGAACCCCCCCCAGGAGACUACGGUGGGAGAACUGUGCAGUCACAGAAGUGAAGACAGUGUUUCUAGAAGGAAGACCUGGAAUCUAUGCUUCUGA